GUUGUAGUGCUUACUUGCCCGUUGAGGCCAAGUUUUAGUGAUUGUGUAUGUAUUCUCUACCUAAAGUAUUUUGUUUAUUUGACCUGAAGCAUAACUUACCAGUGAGUAGAACACAUGAGCAAACAGAACCACCAAGGCAAACUGACUGACAGCAUAAACCCAAGCAUAUCGCCUUUGCACCAUAGUUGUUGCUGUCAUGGAUGCAAGGAGACCCAAGAUGCAUGAAAAGGGCAG
rnacentral:misc_RNA from 1 species